UGAUAACAGACACUGGAGACCCUCCAAGCGAUGGCUGGUGACCGCCUGCCACCAUCCACAGGCUGUCACACAAGGAGCCCUGGGAGUAACCUUGCUGGAAGCCCCGCGGGCCGCAGUGUGUGGCUGGCGUUAUACAGCCCCCAGCCAUCGCCUGGAGGGCAUCCAGUGUCUGUUAUCACUCACCUUAGGUAGUCUGUGAAGGUCCAGUCAUCACUGGCGCACGUGUAUCUUACCUGUGAUCAACACCGGCAGCCACAGACUCCUGCCCAAGGAACGAACACAGUGAUCGUGAUGACAUUGACAACAACGAGCAAGUCCUCCUAGACCUAGAGUGACCUCAAGCUGGGCCAAACAUGAUGUGGAAGAAGAAAUCAAUUGUCUCCAUCAGUCGGGUUUGUGCCAUGGCAGCUUUCUCCAGCUGUCCGGCAGAGGUCCAGUCCAUGCCGUGGAGAAAUUCAGCCCCCAACAAUGAGAUGGCAUGCCAGAGAUGGAUCCGCAGCUUCUCCUCCAAUCAGUCAAUCCUUGCAAUGCCCUUUCUCUUUUCUCUUCUUCUGUACCACCAUGCUUACACAUAACUGAUCCAAGGUACUUAAACUCGUUAACCUCCUCCAUUUCUUCACCAUUCAAAAUUAUUUGGCAUUCUUUUUCACAUUCAAUGCCCACUCUAUAUGGGCAUACAAACUCUACAACCUCCCUUCUACUCCGCUCACAAACCAUCACUUUACUUUUGUUGACAUUUACUUUCAACUUUCUCCUUUUACAUACACUAUCAAAAACACUGACCAAAUUUUGUGUCACUUUCAUUUUCUGCAUUGAGCACCGUGUCAUCAGCAAAUAAGAUUGAAUUCAUCACCCACUUCCCUCCCUCCCUCAGCAUACAUUUUUACUUCAAUUUCCCCAACUUUGCCCUUCAUUUCUCAUAACACCAUCCAUAUAAAUAUUGAACAACCAUGAUGACAUAUAUAUCUUUAAGACGUCCCACAAUGCCAGCCAAUCGACUCUGUCAUAAACUUUCUUUAGAAUAACUAGAUCCAUGAAGGCAGCAUAGUAUUUUUUCCUUUUGCUAAUAUUUUUUCUAAUAAAACACCAUACUGAAGGAAAAUAUCUGAUCCACACAUCCUCUUCCCUUCCUAAAGUCUCCUUGUUCUUCACUGAUUUUCUCUUCUGUAAGUCUUUGCACAAUCUCAAUUAGGACUUUUCCAUAUACCUUUCCAGGUAGCCUACACUCAGCAGACUUAUACCCCUACAACUCCCACUUCCCCUCUCCUGCCCUUCCCCUUGUAAACUGGGACCAUGAUGGCUUUUGUCAAGUCUGCUGGGACCUCCCCCCCCCCUUCCCAGGCCACUUCACAUAUCUUGACCAUUCAUAUAGUAACUUCAUCUCCACACUUCAACAUUUCUGCUGUGAUUCCUCUCAAUUCAUUCAUCAUCAUCAUCUCAUCGAUGCCUGCUCUUAGGAGCUCCCACCAGGGGAUGGCCACGGCAGAAGUUUCCAUCUUUCUCUAUCCAGACACUCCCUCCUUGCCUGCUCAAAGUUUCUCAAGGAUCUCUCAUCCUUCUCCCUAACGUACUCCUGCACC